GGAGAGGUGGCCGAGUGGUCCAAGGCGCUGUAUACCUUAAAAAUACGUUUUCAUGCAGUCUGUUUCUCGAGACAGUCGUGGGUUCAAAUCCCUCCCUCUCCU